rnacentral:antisense_RNA from 1 species
CUUCACCGAUCCCAGCCACAACGGCCGGUCGUCCUCACGCCCCUGCCCGUACGUGGCCAGCAGCGCCUGCGCCUC